rnacentral:rRNA from 1 species
CCUACGGGAGGCAGCAGUGAGGAAUAUUGGUCAAUGGGCUUACGCCUGAACCAGCCAAGUCGCGUGAGGGAAGACUGCCCUAUGGGUUGUAAACCUCUUUUGUCAGGGAGCAAUUGGCGCUACGUGUAGCGUUAUCGAGAGUACCUGAAGAAAAAGCAUCGGCUAACUCCGUGCCAGCAGCCGCGGUAAUACGGAGGAUGCGAGCGUUAUCCGGAUUUAUUGGGUUUAAAGGGUGCGUAGGCGGAAUGCCAAGUCAGCGGUAAAAUCGCGGGGCUCAACCUCGCUCCGCCGUUGAAACUGGCGUGCUUGAGUGGGCGAGAAGUAUGCGGAAUGCGUGGUGUAGCGGUGAAAUGCAUAGAUAUCACGCAGAACUCCGAUUGCGAAGGCAGCAUACCGGCGCCCAACUGACGCUGAAGCACGAAAGCGUGGGUAUCGAACAGGAGUAGAUACCCCGGUAGUC